GAUAGGUGUUGCCGUGGUCAAUUUCUCCUAGGAAGCCAUGCAUCUACAGGAUGGUCUGCCCAUUGCUUACACAUGUGAAAAGCGAGUGACGCAUGUCAAGCUGCUGGGAGCUCAGGGCACGUUCAUCAGCUUCAGCUACAUCAGUGCAACUGAAAAUGCAGCGCUGGUCGAUGGUCCUGCUGCCCUCUUGUCCGACAUACAUUUAUUUAUGUAUUUGACGCACCUGG